rnacentral:rRNA from 1 species
GGGGAAUAUUGGACAAUGGACCAAAAGUCUGAUCCAGCAAUUCUGUGUGCACGAUGAAGUUUUUCGGAAUGUAAAGUGCUUUCAGUUGGGAAGAAGUCAGUGACGGUACCAACAGAAGAAGCGACGGCUAAAUACGUGCCAGCAGCCGCGGUAAUACGUAUGUCGCAAGCGUUAUCCGGAUUUAUUGGGCGUAAAGCGCGUCUAGGCGGCUUAGUAAGUCUGAUGUGAAAAUGCGGGGCUCAACCCCGUAUUGCGUUGGAAACUGCUAAACUAGAGUACUGGAGAGGUAGGCGGAACUACAAGUGUAGAGGUGAAAUUCGUAGAUAUUUGUAGGAAUGCCGAUGGGGAAGCCAGCCUACUGGACAGAUACUGACGCUAAAGCGCGAAAGCGUGGGUAGCAAACAGGAUUAGAUACCCUGGUAGUCCACGCCGUAAACGAUGAUUACUAGGUGUUGGGGGUCGAACCUCAGCGCCCAAGCUAACGCGAUAAGUAAUCCGCCUGGGGAGUACGUACGCAAGUAUGAAACUCAAAGGAAUUGACGGGGACCCGCACAAGCGGUGGAGCAUGUGGUUUAAUUCGACGCAACGCGAGGAACCUUACCAGCGUUUGACAUCCCAAGAAGUUAACAGAGAUGUUUUCGUGCCUCUUCGGAGGAACUUGGUGACAGGUGGUGCAUGGCUGUCGUCAGCUCGUGUCGUGAGAUGUUAGGUUAAGUCCCGCAACGAGCGCAACCCCUUUCGUAUGUUACCAUCAUUAAGUUGGGGACUCAUGCGAGACUGCCUGCGAUGAGCAGGAGGAAGGUGGGGAUGACGUCAAGUCAUCAUGCCCCUUAUACGCUGGGCUACACACGUGCUACAAUGGGUAGUACAGAGAGCUGCAAACCUGCGAGGGUAAGCUAAUCUCAUAAAACUAUUCUUAGUUCGGAUUGUACUCUGCAACUCGAGUACAUGAAGUUGGAAUCGCUAGUAAUCGCAAAUCAGCUAUGUUGCGGUGAAUACGUUCUCG